UACGUAGGGGGCAAGCGUUGUCCGGAUUUAUUGGGCGUAAAGAGCUCGUAGGUGGUUUGGUAAGUCGGAUGUGAAAUCUCCAGGCUCAACCUGGAGGGGUCAUUCGAUACUGCCAUGACUAGAGGUCGGUAGGGGAGUGUGGAAUUCCUGGUGGAGCGGUGAAAUGCGCAGAUAUCAGGAGGAACACCCGUAGCGAAGGCGGCACUCUGGGCCGAUACCGACACUGAGGAGCGAAAGCGUGGGGAGCGAACAGG
rnacentral:rRNA from 1 species